AGAGUUUGAUCCUGGCUCAGAUUGAACGCUGGCGGCAGGCUUAACACAUGCAAGUCGAGCGGAGAUGAGGUGCUUGCACCUUAUCUUAGCGGCGGACGGGUGAGUAAUGCUUAGGAAUCUGCCUAUUAGUGGGGGACAACAUUCCGAAAGGAAUGCUAAUACCGCAUACGUCCUACGGGAGAAAGCAGGGGAUCUUCGGACCUUGCGCUAAUAGAUGAGCCUAAGUCGGAUUAGCUAGUUGGUGGGGUAAAGGCCUACCAAGGCGACGAUCUGUAGCGGGUCUGAGAGGAUGAUCCGCCACACUGGGACUGAGACACGGCCCAGACUCCUACGGGAGGCAGCAGUGGGGAAUAUUGGACAAUGGGCGGAAGCCUGAUCCAGCCAUGCCGCGUGUGUGAAGAAGGCCUUAUGGUUGUAAAGCACUUUAAGCGAGGAGGAGGCUACUCUAGUUAAUACCUAGAGAUAGUGGACGUUACUCGCAGAAUAAGCACCGGCUAACUCUGUGCCAGCAGCCGCGGUAAUACAGAGGGUGCGAGCGUUAAUCGGAUUUACUGGGCGUAAAGCGUGCGUAGGCGGCUGAUUAAGUCGGAUGUGAAAUCCCUGAGCUUAACUUAGGAAUUGCAUUCGAUACUGGUCAGCUAGAGUAUGGGAGAGGAUGGUAGAAUUCCAGGUGUAGCGGUGAAAUGCGUAGAGAUCUGGAGGAAUACCGAUGGCGAAGGCAGCCAUCUGGCCUAAUACUGACGCUGAGGUACGAAAGCAUGGGGAGCAAACAGGAUUAGAUACCCUGGUAGUCCAUGCCGUAAACGAUGUCUACUAGCCGUUGGGGCCUUUGAGGCUUUAGUGGCGCAGCUAACGCGAUAAGUAGACCGCCUGGGGAGUACGGUCGCAAGACUAAAACUCAAAUGAAUUGACGGGGGCCCGCACAAGCGGUGGAGCAUGUGGUUUAAUUCGAUGCAACGCGAAGAACCUUACCUGGUCUUGACAUAGUAAGAACUUUCCAGAGAUGGAUUGGUGCCUUCGGGAACUUACAUACAGGUGCUGCAUGGCUGUCGUCAGCUCGUGUCGUGAGAUGUUGGGUUAAGUCCCGCAACGAGCGCAACCCUUUUCCUUACUUGCCAGCAUUUCGGAUGGGAACUUUAAGGAUACUGCCAGUGACAAACUGGAGGAAGGCGGGGACGACGUCAAGUCAUCAUGGCCCUUACGACCAGGGCUACACACGUGCUACAAUGGUCGGUACAAAGGGUUGCUACCUAGCGAUAGGAUGCUAAUCUCAAAAAGCCGAUCGUAGUCCGGAUUGGAGUCUGCAACU
rnacentral:rRNA from 1 species